GUAGGGUUUGGGAGCGGGGUUAGCGGCUGCCGUUGUGCUUAACAACGUAACGUAGAGAGUUUCGUUAAGAAAAAGGCUGUAGAAGGUUUUGGGUAGGGGUCAGUUCUGGCUUUGAGAAGAGGAUUUCCCACCUUUCCUUUCUUGCAAAUGUCCAAAUAUGCAGGGAGAGACUAUAAACGCUUCCCGGAAGGUGCUGGGCAGGAGGAGAGUCCAGAGGCUCGUGCCACGAUGCUCCUCCCAUCCUCUGCCUACGGAUUUCUCAUCCUCCCCAUCGUUCCCUGGCUGGGAAGCACUCGGAAAGGCGAGACGCGUGAGGCUCUUUCCCAGCUUUGAGGGCUCCAGGUAGCAGCGGGGAGGCAGUGAAGGGAGGGAGCCUUUGUGUUUUCUGCCUUGGCCUUUAAAGCUGGCGUCUUCUUGCGCUGGUUAUUUCAGCAGAACCUUCUGACUGAGAAAAAUCAGCCCCUGAAGGCUCCUGGAUGCCACCAAUUCUCACGCUGCUCUAGAUCUGCCGUCUUCUGCAGCAGCUCUCUUGGAAAAAAUGCUGUAGAGGGUUACAAGGGUCUCUCCCCUCUCUUUGGAUGCCUCUCGACUGCACUGUAGAUGCUGGGAAAAAUCGGUGUUUUAAGAGAAAUCUCAGUGGCAGAUGGCGAUGGCGUUCAUCCAAGAGAGCUUCCUCCUUCCUCCCUUUGAAGGCAUGGAUUUUUCUAGUUCUCAGAUAUGGAAGGGCUGUUGCUGCCCUGCAUUUUCGUGUUGGCUGACUUCCUGAAAGCUUCCUAAACUGAUGGACCAAGUUGGUGAUUCUCAUGCCCUGCAAUCUGGAAUGUUUGUGUCCCUGAAUGUAGGAGUUCGGUGCGCUGAACUUCACAACCAACUUUAAAAUGAACUCGUGUGCUUCUGCUGAAGGGAUGCACGUACUACCAGCUGAGUGUCUACCCUGAAGUGGAUGCCCGUUAGCUUGUGAUGAAGCAGCCUGUCUGGCAUUUCCAGUUGUGUGGCUUCAGCAGGGCACCGUACCUUAGUUUUCGGAUGCUUUUCUGCUGCAUCCCGAUGAGGGCAUCUCUGAGACCCCAUCCUCUGCUCUCUCCUUGGUUUUGCCCUUUGUGUAGCCUGGCAAAGUGAGGCUGGGGAGAGGAUUGCUGUCUCUAAAUACGAGGAUGGGGAUGCUUGUGCAAGCAAUGAAGUGCAAGCUUCGUAAUACAGAAAAAUAUAUAUUCCACAAAUCAAAAGGAGGUUUCCCAGCCCCAAGACAGGAGGUUACUGGAACCAGUCCCUCUGUCAGAGCAGAGACAACAAAAGAGCUGAGUGCUUUUAAGAGUGGGAAAUUUGUGAAAAGGGAGUCGAGGACAUUGGUGACCACGACACUCAGGAGGCUGAGUAAUGUGGGAAGCCUCAUCCCGUUCCUUUCCUUGCACAGAGCUUGCUAGUUUUCCAACAGAGCUUAAGCGGUAUUGAAAGGCACAGUGAACAUGGGGAAACUGGGUUUAGGGAUCCUAUACGUGAACUGGGUAUGUAAAUAGAGCAGUACUUACCAGUUCCAGUCACUGGAGGGACUGGAGCAGCAGCAGAAGGCUCUGGUUUGGCUGCCAAUGCCCUAUUUUUACCUGUGUGAUGCUGAUGGUAUUUUUAUUGCUGCUUCUCUCAAUAGCAGGGCAAUGAUCCUUAUUCAAAGCAUUUUUCUGCAGCAGUUAGUUGAUAAAUCUAGGCCUUUGAAAGACAGAAAGACAAAAUGCUUUGAGAGGGGUCCUAUUCUGCCAUUAAUAUGGGGACUGCUGGUGUAUGGAUGUAUAUGCCAUGUUGGAGAUGGCAUUAAUAUCGCAUCAGGUAGGCCUGUGUACAGGUUUUUAGGUUUAAGGUGUCAGGAGGAGCAGGUGAGUGAAGCAGGCGGGCGCUUGGUGGGUUGUGUUUGCUGUCCUGGUGCUCUGCCGUGCAGAAGUAGAGUGUCCAUCUCCCUGUCGGAGCAGUCGUGCCCUCUGACUUCUCUCUGCUCACAGGGAAAGGUGUAGGAGCUCAGCUGCUGUUGCCGCACUCCUCCAUGAGAAGACCCUUUCAAAAUUUUGGGGGUAUAGAAAUCCUGGAGUUUGUCCUGCCUUUCCCUUCAUGUAUACUCUGGGGUCUUGGACUCCCCUUCCCCUGAGGGUGCUCCUCCUGGUCUGGUGUUCCCAGGGACGUGGUUCCCCUCACGUGGCGUGGCGAGGCCUGGGCAGCCAACGUUCCUCUGAGAAGUCACUUAACUCUAAUUUAGCUAUAGUAAGGUUUUCUUGAGGGAGUCUUGAAAUAAGAUACUUGAGUUAAACUUUUCUCCAAGUAAAGCCCUAGGUAGACUUUUCCUCCUGAAAUGCUGAUGGAGUUUGCAAUCCUGAAGUUCAUUUAAGUAGUGCAGAUUGAGAAAUUGUCUAAAGUCCCUGAAUUGCUCCUGCAUUCUCCCUCUAUUGGGCCGUGAUUCAGAUUUUCCCCCCCUCUCUCUCAUUCAUGAAGAGUUAUUUUUACGUCUGUUCUUGUUUGAAGUAAAUGCAUUGGAAAUAGAGGAUGAUUGAGAUUUGGACGUGCCUCCUAAAAUAGAGCUUGCAUCUCUUUCAAGAUUUCUUUUGGUGAUGGUUGGGGGUGGCCUCUCUGUAAAUAUAUAAAAAUAACUCCUUAUUUUAAAAUUAACGUGGGUAGCUGAUGGCUGUAGCAGCUCCUGGGGAGCUGUGCUGCUCUAAAAGGGCCUGUCUUGCCUCCGCUCUGUGCAGCAGCCAAGUUAACCCGCCGAGGAGAGAAUACGUCGUCUUCAAACGUGCGCUUGCCUGUCGGCUUUGUGGCUUCUCAAAGAUCUUUCAGUCUGGGAGUGAGUUUCCCUCCUGCCCCUGGGUUGUUUCCUUUGCUGUUCAGCUUUCUUAAGUGCUGCCUCUGGGUAUUUGGGUAUUGCUCUCCGACUGCUUCCUUCUCCCACAGCUCGAGU